rnacentral:tRNA from 1 species
UCCUCGAUGGUCUAGUGGUCAUGAUUUCCGCUUGUCAGUCAUAAGAUCAACAAGCGCGGGAGACCUGGGUUCGAUUCCCAGUCGGGGAG